rnacentral:tRNA from 1 species
GCUGGGGUAGUGAAGCGGUCAAACACUAUGGACUGUAAAUCCAUCGGCUUCGGCCUUCGGGGGUUCGAAUCCCUCCCCCAGCACCA